CUGGAUAAGAGCGUCUGCUAAAUGACGUAAAUGUAAAUGUAAAUUUAAUUAUGAACUUUCUAGACCCCUAUGAUUGGGGCCUGGCCCUUUACAAAAGCAUUUUCAAUUCUGGUUGCUUUAGGUUUGCUUUGCAACUGUUCUUACACUGUUCCCACAUAGUUUAUAGUGUAAUUAAAACCAAACAGAUUUAUGUUAAAUUAUUUUCGUCACAGCUGAUCUUGAUGUCUUUGUAAGGCCCUCUUCUGGUUCUCUGUCAUGGUGUUAUCAGUGCUGUUAUGUCUGCAGUUUGGUCAUUGUCCUUCAACAGAUUAUAAUGUCGAUGAACAUGGCGUCCGACAUCAGUCCAGCAGGGGGGGGUAGGAGGGCAAAAUACCACUACGGUGGGAGGAAGUAAACCCCUGCACCGCUUCAUGAGAGGGGAGCCCAAGAGUAUUGGGAUUGUAAUGCUGUUCAUGGGAUCAUCACUCUUCAUCUUGGGGAUUCCCAUGAGGCUGGAUACAUUGACGUCCUCUGCGGACACUUUCACCGCUUUUUGGCUAGGAAUCCUGUUCAUCAUCCCUGGGUUGUUAUAUGUGCUCGCAGAGAAUAAUCCUUCAAAACAACUGGUGACAGCAAGCCUGGCCCUUAGUAUCAUCUCUAUGUUGGGGGUCACAGUCGCUUUCUUUGAAUUCCUUAAAGGCAUCGUGGAAAUGCGGCACGUAUAUGACUACUAUGAUCAUUACCAUUAUGACAACAACAUCACAGAAUCUGCCAGAGUUGUAGUUUCUGUCCCCUGGCGUAAACAACAUAUGUACCAGUUGAUCAGCCUUGAGGCUGUAUUCAUGUACCAGAGCUUAGUAGGCAUGGUGCUCCUAAUUGUGAUGACAACAUUUGCCAGGGUUGCCCUGCGGUCCAGUAUGACACAGGCAAUUGUGGUAAUUCAAGAUCUACCAUCACCAGACUGAAUAAAGAAAACAAGCCUUUUCUGACUGUCUCUGCCAUGAUGGAUGGAUAGAAAACUUGGACUUGCACAUUGAUAUAAAAUAUAUGUAUUCACCAAUAUGUAGAAAAUUUCUUUAAAUCCACAUAUAUGGAAAUGUCUUUGUAUACACUCA